CGUGUUAGGGUGUGAGCCCCUCCGGCUGUCUCGGGUUUAUGGAGUCUAUGCUGUGUGCCGUGCCUCCUGCCAGGAGCUGUCACGCAUUUUGCCGCGUUUGCUCUUCGGCAGCCUGCUGAGUCAGGUGCCGUCGCCCUGAGAGCCCUCGUGUGUCUUGGGCAGGUCUGUGCAGAGGACGCCGUCUCCGACCACGGCUUCGAGUUGGGCUGCCGUUACCUCGCUAAGUGACCUCCAGAAGGCAAGCAGACUUCCUGGGUCUGGGUGUCCCUGUGCGGGAUUGGACCUCGGGACUUUCUUGGGGCCGCAUCCAGACCCCUUUACUGCCUGGUGCCUCCAUCUCCGGCUUCUGGGUGUGCUGGGGGCCAACAGCUCACAGCCGCCCCCUUCUCUGAAUAGUUAAUUGUCCUUGGGGAACUGCUGCGCCCUGGAAGUUACCACUCCCCAAACGCCUGGAGCUCAUGGCUGACUGGGGUUGCAGUAUAAAGGCCCAGCUCCUUUGCCUCCAAGAGAGUUGACUCGUGCUAUUCGUGCUCCGAGCUCCUCUGGAAUGAAGUUGAAGGAGUGAGAAUCCAGAAUAAUGAGAGGACAGCCAGCAGGAGAAGGAAGUCCCCGGGAGGCGAGUUGGUCUGUUUGUAUUUUCCUUAUUUUAACAUGCAUUUUGUUAUUGUGUGCUUUUGCUAGGAAAUCACCAAUUUCCUGUGGAUUUCCAGUUUGAUGCAAUAGGUUUCUCUUAUUUGAGUUUUAAUUUUUCCUCUUUCUCUAGUUUUCAACAGAAUUGUCACAAUUACGAACAAAUAUGGGUACCUUAUUGUUAACUAAAAUCCAUAUUUUAUUUGGGUUCCCUUCGUUCUUCCAUUUUGUGUCCUAGGAUCCCAUCCAGGGUAUCCCAUGGCAUUGAGUCAUAAUGUCACUUUAGUAUGUUUUCGGCUUUGACAUUUUCUCACACUGUCCUUCACUCUAUGACCUCAGCAGUGUUGAGGUGGACUAGUCAGGUAUUUCGUAGAUUGUCCCGCAUUGGGAUUUACUUGGUGUUUUUCUUGUGAUUAAAAUGGGGUCACGGGUUUUGAGGAAGCAGAUCACAGGGGUAAAGUGCUUUCUUGUGACUUUAUAUCGUGGGAACAUACAUCAGGGCAACUUAUCACUGUUCAUGUUAGCUUUGCCCUUCUGGCUCAGGUAGUGUUUGUCAGAUUUUCCCCACUGUGAAGUUCCUUUUUCCCUAAGUCUGUACUGUGUGUCUUCUUUAGGAUGAAGCCACUGUGUGGCACCCACACUUCAGGAGAGGGGAGUAUUUUAUUUACCGCUGCUGUGUACUAACAUUUGAAAUUGGGCAGUGUGACCCUCCAACUUUGAAUUUCUUGUGAAAAAUUGUUUUAGCUCUUUGGGGUCUCUAGAAAUUCCGUAUUUUGGCGUUUCACAUUUUGCUCCCCUUCACAUGGAUGUACCCCAGUUUCCUUAUGCAUCCAUCUACUGAAGACAUCCUGAUUCCAUUUAGGUUUAGACAUUAUGAGUAGAGUUUCCGUGCACAAUAGCAUCCUUGUUUUUGUUUGGAUAGAGUUUUACAAAGCAGUUGUGUAAUUAUUGAAGGUGUGAGAAGUUGUGUAAUUAUCUCAAGGUGUGAGACUUGUUUGGCUUUGGAAAAUCCUGCCAAACUGUAUCUCAAGGCCGUCUACGCGUUCCAUCGGCGAUGAAGGAGAGCUGUUGUUCCCCACCCUCCAGUGAUCAGGGUCGUCCUUGUGGGAGGAGGUUAGUAGUUCUCAUAGGUCCGUAUCGCUGUCUUGCUUUACUUUGUGAUUCCCUAAUGGUAUAUGAUGUUGAUCAUGUUUUUGUCCACUUAUUAUCUGUUUAUCUUCUUUGGCCAGACAUCUAUUCAGAUCUUCACCCAUUUUUAAUGCAGUUGUUUGUUUUACAGUUCUUUGUAUAAUUUGAGUACAAAUUCUUUAUCAGAUAUGUGUUUUGCAAAUAUUUUUCUCCCAGUUUAUUGCUUGUUUUUCAGUUUUCUGGAAAAGGCAUUUCACCGAGUAGAAAUUUUUAAUUUUAUAAAGAACACGUUACUGGGAUAAACCAUAAUGGAAAAGAAUGUAUAUAUGUGUAUAAUAACUGAGUCACUUUGCUGUAUAGCAGAAAUUAACACAACAUUGUAUGGUUUUUUUUGUUUGUUUGUUUGUUUUUUUGCGGUGCGCGGGCCCCUCACUGUUGUGGCCUCUCCCGUUGCGGAGCACAGGCUCCGGACGCGCAGGCUCAGCGGCCAUGGCUCACGGGCCCAGCCGCUCCGCGGCAUGUGGGAUCUUCGCAGACCGGGGCACGAACCUGCGUCCCCUGCAUCGGCAGGCGGACUCUCAACCACUGCGCCACCAGGGAAGCCCUAACACAACAUUGUAAAUCAACUAUACUUCAAUAAAAAAAAUUAAUUUACAAAGAACAUGUUACUAACUUUUUUCCUUUUGUGCAUUGGCUUUUUGUGUUGUGUGUUAAAAGUCAAACCUCAUGAUCUAUGUGCCCAAACCCAUGGUCAUGUAGAUUUUCUUCUAUGUUUUCUUUUAUAGUUUUUAUAGUUUUAUAUUUUAAAUUUGUCUGUGGACACUUUGGAAUGACUUUUGGUGUAAGUUGCAAAGUCUGUGUCUACAUUCAUUUCAUUGCAUAUGGUUUCUGAUUGUUCUAUACCUAUUUUUCAAGAAGUCAUGGCAUAUUUGCUGCCAUAUGUUUGAAUUUCCAAACAUUAGUGGAUUCAGCAGGACGGCCAGCAGGGAACUCGGUCUCCUCUGAACUGGGAGUGGGUGCAGCCUGCAUUUCCCACUUUGCCAGCACAGGGUGACAAGCCCACUCCUCUUACCAGUGCGCACCUGCCUUUUCUGCACACAGGGCUGGCCCUGUGCGCAGCUGACAGGAGCCUGGCCUCCUCAGGAACCUCCAAGGAUUUGGCUUCGGGACAGUGCAGGGCUGCAUCCACGUUGAGACGAGCUCGGUUUCCUCAGGACUGGCUGGGAGGUGCCUCCCUGGGAGAAAAAGGUCAUCCAGAACACCCAAGAUGGGACUUCCCUGGUGGUGCAGUGGUUAAGAGUCCACCUGCCAAUGCACGGGACGUGGGUUCGAUCCCUGGUCCACGAAGAUCCCACAUGCCGCGGGGCAACUAAGCCCAUGAGCCACAACUACUGAGCCCGCGUGCGGCAACUACUGAAGCCCGUGCACCUAGAGCCCGUGCUCCUCAACAAGAGAAGCCACCGCAAUGAGAAGCCCACGCACGGCAACGAAGAGUAGGCAACGAAGAGUAGCCCCCGCUUUCCGCAACUAGAGAAAGCCUGCGUGCAGCAACGAAGACCCAACGCAACCAUAAAUAAAUAAAUUAAUUAAUUAAAAAAAAUAACUAGACUGUCUUUUCUAAUCUGCAUGUGUUCAGUGUACAAUUCUUGUACACCUUUUCCCUCACCUCUAUUGGAGGCUGAUUCAGAACACAUACAACCUCCUGGAGAAACUUGCCCCAACCCUGCUAUGUACUGCCACCUAGCUGGCCUGGUACUGAGUCACCAAAAACUUUUGUUCUUUACUUGAUUCUUAAUUCCUUUAGAAUUCAUUACUUUACUGUUAUAAAUGUUUAUUGUCCUUGUAAUAAAUCUUUUAAUAAAUCAUUUUUAUUUUAAAAAUAAAAUAUUGUACUUUAAUUACUC